rnacentral:rRNA from 1 species
CGGUGGAUGCCCUGGCAGUCAGAGGCGAUGAAGGGCGUGCUAAUCUGCGAUAAGCGCCGGUAAGGUGAUAUGAACCGUUAUAACCGGCGAUACCCGAAUGGGGAAACCCAGUGUGAUUCGUCACACUAUCAUUAACUGAAUCCAUAGGUUAAUGAGGCGAACCGGGGGAACUGAAACAUCUAAGUACCCCGAGGAAAAGAAAUCAACCGAGAUUCCCCCAGUAGCGGCGAGCGAACGGGGAGGAGCCCAGAGCCUGAAUCAGCAUGUGUGUUAGUGGAAGCGUCUGGAAAGGCGCGCGAUACAGGGUGACAGCCCCGUACACAAAAGCGCAUGUGCUGUGAGCUCGAUGAGUAGGGCGGGACACGUGGUAUCCUGUCUGAAUAUGGGGGGACCAUCCUCCAAGGCUAAAUACUCCUGACUGACCGAUAGUGAACCAGUACCGUGAGGGAAAGGCGAAAAGAACCCCGGCGAGGGGAGUGAAAAAGAACCUGAAACCGUGUACGUACAAGCAGUGGGAGCACAGGUUUACCUGUGUGACUGCGUACCUUUUGUAUAAUGGGUCAGCGACUUAUAUUCUGUAGCAAGGUUAACCGAAUAGGGGAGCCGGAGGGAAACCGAGUCUUAAUUGGGCGUUAAGUUGCAGGGUAUAGACCCGAAACCCGGUGAUCUAGCCAUGGGCAGGUUGAAGGUUGGGUAACACUAACUGGAGGACCGAACCGACUAAUGUUGAAAAAUUAGCGGAUGACCUGUGGCUGGGGGUGAAAGGCCAAUCAAACCGGGAGAUAGCUGGUUCUCCCCGAAAGCUAUUUAGGUAGCGCCUCGUGAAUUCAUCUCCGGGGGUAGAGCACUGUUUCGGCUAGGGGGCCAUCCCGGCUUACCAACCCGAUGCAAACUGCGAAUACCGGAGAAUGUUAUCACGGGAGACACACGGCGGGUGCUAACGUCCGUCGUGAAGAGGGAAACAACCCAGACCGCCAGCUAAGGUCCCAAAGUCAUGGUUAAGUGGGAAACGAUGUGGGAAGGCCCAGACAGCCAGGAUGUUGGCUUAGAAGCAGCCAUCAUUUAAAGAAAGCGUAAUAGCUCACUGGUCGAGUCGGCCUGCGCGGAAGAUGUAACGGGGCUAAACCAUGCACCGAAGCUGCGGCAGCGACGCUUAUGCGUUGUUGGGUAGGGGAGCGUUCUGUAAGCCUGUGAAGGUGUGUCGUGAGGCAUGCUGGAGGUAUCAGAAGUGCGAAUGCUGACAUAAGUAACGAUAAAGCGGGUGAAAAGCCCGCUCGCCGGAAGACCAAGGGUUCCUGUCCAACGUUAAUCGGGGCAGGGUGAGUCGACCCCUAAGGCGAGGCCGAAAGGCGUAGUCGAUGGGAAACGGGUUAAUAUUCCCGUACUUGGUGUUACUGCGAAGGGGGGACGGAGAAGGCUAUGUUGGCCGGGCGACGGUUGUCCCGGUUUAAGCGUGUAGGUGUGUGUUCCAGGUAAAUCCGGUUCACUUUAACACUGAGGCGUGAUGACGAGGCACUACGGUGCUGAAGUAACAAAUGCCCUGCUUCCAGGAAAAGCCUCUAAGCAUCAGGUAACAUCAAAUCGUACCCCAAACCGACACAGGUGGUCAGGUAGAGAAUACCAAGGCGCUUGAGAGAACUCGGGUGAAGGAACUAGGCAAAAUGGUGCCGUAACUUCGGGAGAAGGCACGCUGACACGUAGGUGAAGUGAUUUACUCACGGAGCUGAAGUCAGUCGAAGAUACCAGCUGGCUGCAACUGUUUAUUAAAAACACAGCACUGUGCAAACACGAAAGUGGACGUAUACGGUGUGACGCCUGCCCGGUGCCGGAAGGUUAAUUGAUGGGGUCAGCGCAAGCGAAGCUCCUGAUCGAAGCCCCGGUAAACGGCGGCCGUAACUAUAACGGUCCUAAGGUAGCGAAAUUCCUUGUCGGGUAAGUUCCGACCUGCACGAAUGGCGUAAUGAUGGCCAGGCUGUCUCCACCCGAGACUCAGUGAAAUUGAACUCGCUGUGAAGAUGCAGUGUACCCGCGGCAAGACGGAAAGACCCCGUGAACCUUUACUAUAGCUUGACACUGAACAUUGAGCCUUGAUGUGUAGGAUAGGUGGGAGGCUUUGAAGUGUGGACGCCAGUCUGCAUGGAGCCGACCUUGAAAUACCACCCUUUAAUGUUUGAUGUUCUAACGUGGACCCGUUA